AAGAACGAUCCGACAGCCGUGAAUGAAAUCAAAAAGGUGCCGGCAGCAGCUGCUGCUUCAUCUGCUGUAGACUCCUCACUGACUGUCGGAGAGAGGAUAGAAAGUUUCCUGAAGCCACAUAAAAUCAGUUGUUGGGACAACAUCACGAAGUCAACAAUUUAUUCAAUUCAGCCACAGCUUCUGUUAAUAACCAACCUGCCAAAGUAUCACAGCGUC